rnacentral:rRNA from 1 species
AGCUCCAAUAGCGUAUAUUAAAGUUGUUGCGGUUAAAAAGCUCGUAGUUGGAUUCCUGUCUUCGGCCGGGCGGUUAGUGGCUCAGGCCGCUGGACUGCCUUUGGUUGAGGGUGUCAAAGCCCUUUUCCUUUAACGGCCGGACAAUACCACCGGAGGUGCGGGAUAGUGACGGGCUCUCGGGCUCCGAUCGACGACGCACCACUUCACAGUCCGAGGUGCCCUUAACAAGGUGUCUCGGGCGGCCGGUAACGUUUACUUUGAACAAAUUAGAGUGCUCAAAGCAGGUACAUAUCACGCCUGAAUAUCACAGCAUGGAAUGAUGGAAUAGGACCUCGGUCUUAUUUUGUUGGUUUUCUCUAGACCCGAGGUAAUGGUUAAUAGAGACGGACGGGGGCAUUCGUACUGCGACGCUAGAGGUGAAAUUCUUGGACCGUCGCAAGACGAACGACUGCGAAAGCAUUUGCCAAGAAUGUUUUCA